UCCCCCCUCCGCCCCUCGCCGCCUCCUCCCUCCGCGGCCCACACUGCGCACCGCGGCUCGCCGGCGCCUCUAUCUAUUUUGUGUCCAGCCCGGCCGCGCGCCGUGAUUCAUGGCCCCAAUUAGGGGCCUCCCGCUGCAGCGCGCUCGGCUCCACGGUCCCCUGGGGACCCGUGACACGGCGGCGGCCCAGGCUGGUCUUUCAGCAGAGGUCAAGCGGGACGUGGGAGGAGCCAGCCUCAGGAGGCCCACAUCUGGUCCGCAUCAGCAUCUGUGCACGAGCCAGCGGCGGCAAGUUCGCAGCCAGGACCCCUCCUCCGCUCCCCGGCGCUGGCCCCGGCCAGGGGACCUCUCUGGACCUCACGUGUCCCGUCUGUGGAAUGACAUCUUUCCAGAAGCUUCAGGCAGGAUCCAAGCCUGUGGUUUCCCAGCGGUGUGCAGCUGUCCUGACUGGGCUGCUGGAGUCCUCCUGGGGACAGCACUGGGCGGGCCUCUGGCCCUCGGGGGUGGAAGUGGAAAGGGGCUUCCUCCCCCCACCCCAGGGCAGGGGCCCGUGUGUUAAAAGGGAAAGGGUCACCUCCUGGGCAUCCCUGGGGAUACUGCAGGACUAACAGGAAGACUGGCCUGGCAGCGGGAACGUGGGACUUGAGGCCUCCCUGCGCGGGGUCCAGGAAAUUGCUGGCUCAGCAAGCUGUCCAGAAGCACCCGGGGCUGCGGGGCUGCCGGGCCCUGGCAUUUGUAAAACCCACUCAGUGGGACAGAUUAGGAAACCCUGAAAGGGCAAAGUCUGUUUCUUUGGGUCGGUGCCAGUUGCGGGGCUGCUGGGUCUCACCCAAGCUGGCUGGGCACAGGAUGGCUGUGGGGGAACCCAGGGCUCUGUGUGGGUAGGCGGGGUCCCCCAGGCCUAGCACAGGUUGUCCUCACUGCCCAGCAUUCUCUGGGGAGCGCUGAGUCUUGAAGGUCCUGGAGCGGUGACAGAAGAGGCUUCUGGUCUUCUGAAACGGCCGGUCCCCCGAGUUUGGUCAGGUUUCUCCGCUGCAUUUCUGCUGUUGUGUGGAUCCCAGCACCUCUCCAGAGGACAGAACCUGGCUCCGUCUUGCUCUCUAGGCGACCAGGGCUGGCUGUGCACAGCUCCCACGCUCCCAGACCCCAUCCUAUGUCCUUGAUGGCUCAACCCUGGGCAGCCCACUCGGCGGGCCUUACCUCAUGGGGCCUGAGGGCGCCCCGGCACAGAGACAGGGUGUGUGGUGGGUGCUGUGUGUGGGGCCCAGCUGUUCCUGCCCAGUGUCAGGAGCUGCUGUGACAACGUAUGCCCAGCCUGAGGACAGCCCAGGGUCACUGGGACAGAGGGAGGUGCCUCCAGAGGAGCUUCCUGUGUGUGUGUGUGUGCGUGUGUGAGUGUGCUGAUGCACAUAUGUGCUGUGCACACACGCAUGCACACAUUUGUCUACAUGUAUGGUUCUGUGGGUCCCUGUGCGUGUGUGUGCGUGCGUGUGCCAGUGUGUGUGAAGAGGACCAGAGGUUUCUGUUUCUGGUUCUCUGUGACAGUGACUCAGGAAAGUCCCCAGGCACAGGUCAGAGAAGGAGGAAGAAGGCGAGUGACAGGCUUGGUCAUCUGUGGGUAGGCGGCAAGGGACCACAGACCGAUGCCACAGCCCCUGGUCACCAGUGCUGCGGCCUUGGCCUGCUACUUAGCCUCAGUUUCCCCAUCCAGGAAAGAAAAAUAAAACAACAUAGCCACCACGCGCCAGACUUGCACCGCACAGGCGCCGCGUCGCUGACCCAGGGUCAGGGCCAGCAGCCCAGGUGGGCUCUGUGAUGUCCCAGCUCCCAGCUGAGGAGGAGGGAAGCCCUGGCCAGCUCUGCGGCUUGGUGGGCGUCACCCCCUGCUCAGAGUGGCUUCACCCCAAGUCCGGCUCGCUGGACAGCAGCGACCUGAGCCCGGCCCGUGUGUUCUCAGGUCCGCACCUAAGGAAGCCGGCCGCGUUCACACAGGGAGAUGCAAGAAGGUUCCCCGAGGACCAGAGGCCGUCGGGUGGGCAGCUGUGAGCCCCCCGCCCUCGCACUCGCAGCCCCCUGUGGGGGUGUCUGGGCGCCACGUGCAGGCCUGUGUCCCUGGGGGACCAUGUCUUCCCAGUGUCGCGCACGCACGUGUGCACACACACACACACACACACACACACAGCUGCGUCCGUCUCCUGCGUCCCCCUUGGCCUCCAAAUGCCCUGUUCUGGGUUCACAGGGCCCAAGUCAGGGUUGGGGCCCCAUCAGUGCUGGGUCCAGGGAUGCUGCCUCUGUCCCAGCCUCAGGGUGGCCCCCCAAGACCCGGGGCCCACCCCUAGUCGCUUCCUCGAAUCUCCGCACCCUUCCCUCUUCCCAGAGCUGGCGCUUGGCUGUGACUUUUCCCCACGCUCCUGCGCGCCGGCUCUGUGACCUGGCUUCCUCUUCCCCGGGCCUCUGCCCUCUUCCUGCCCCCCUGACCCGCCGGGGCCUUGGCAGCCCCCCAGGACACAAUCACCUCCUCGGGCUGCCCCACCCUGCCCGAUCCCGGCAGCCGGCGGCGCAGUGUGCUUGGCCUCCGGCUCGCUGGGGACCAGGACGACAAGAGCGACCCUCUGCCCGCCCUGUUCUGUGUUCCCUUCUCUUUCAAAUUCUGCCUAAGAAGGAAGGAAAGAGCUCCAGACAUGGCGGGCGCCUGGCAAGGAUGCCUCCUCCUCCUCCUCAGGCAGAAUGUUAGGGAUAAGAAGAAAACGUCCUGGGAUUUAUGCAGCCUCGGCCGAGCAACCGUCUCACAUCUGGUGGCUCGUGACACAGCGGCGCACUGAGGCCUGGCGGGAAGCCUUCGUCCACUGGAGAGAGGGGAAACUGAGGCUCGGCACAGCAGGGAGACGCUCAGGGCGGCAGUGGGAGCCAGGGUCAGCUGCCAGGCUGGCAGAGUUCCGUGUGUGCCACCCAUCCUAACUGUGCUCAUUCCUUAAUAUAAACACAACAUGCGCCCA